ACAGAUGUUUACCGCCAUUAUUUGGGAUUUAAAAUUCUACAUCACAUCAAAAUGUUUGAGUAGCCACUAGAUAAAAAGACAUGAUUAUGAGCCUCAGAAAAUGUGCUGUCCAUAAAAUGAAAUACAUGAGAAUGUGGGUUGCAGUGCUGAUUUUAAAACUAUAUUUUCACUUUAGACAAAAAGCCAAAGCAUCAAGAAGUUCCCUGUCAUCAUUUCUUACAGCAAUGAUCUGUUAGAAACUUAUUAUCUCUAAAUGGUUCACAGGAGUCCUUAGAGAAUCAUGAAAAUCUUUAGAGAACCAUGUGAUUUUAAAAUGUCUCUUCAGGAUUAAAUCUGUUUCUCUUCUGUUAUUACUAAAGUGUUUGCUGCUGGAGAAUAUUAUUGCUAUCUUUUUAAAUAAUAAUCUCUAAUACUUCUGAUUUAUCAGAUAGGUUUCAGCUAUUGAUUUCAAAGCUGAUGUUCUAAAACUCAUCUAUUAGUGAGCUCUUUUAUUCAGAAUUCAGAUCAAUAUAGUUUUUGAUUUCAGAAAUGAUAUCCUAAAAUAGAUAUCUCCAUAAAAAAAACUCCUCAGUUAAUACUGAUUGACUUCCAGUAUUAAUAGACUGUCCCCUGUAUCCCUGUGGACAAAAUGAAAAUGACUCUGUAUUUUGCAAGUGUUGUGGAAGUGUUAAUAGGUGUUUUCUGUUUGGAUGUGAUGGAUUCAUAAUACAGUCAUCUGUAGUCCUUAUUCCAACAUCAGUGAACACAAUGGAUUGUUCUGACUGUUUCUCAUUAAAAUUAAUCAGUUGGCUAAGGUUGUGAUUCUGAGCACACAUGCUAGUAAAUAAGCCUCAUUGAACUCUCCUGAAUAAAUAUGCAUUGGAUUCUUCCACAAGGUGCUCUAAGUCUAUGCAUACAUUCCUGGAAGGAAGCUCCAUUGACUUUAGUGAAGCUGACUUUCAAAUAAAUAUGUGUAUGCUCCUGUAUGAAGGUCAGUGUUGGGGAAUAAGUUUUCUUUAAUUGAGCUCUUUUUUGGGAAAGUAUGGGGUCAUUUAUUCUCCUUAUAAACCUUUCCAUGAAUACAUCAGAAAACCACACUACUUCAUUACUAUGAAAUGAUAUGUUUUAUCCCUUUAAGGCCUAUUUAUAAAAGGGUGAUGCCUAGUGUUUUGACAGUGGAAGCACACUCAAGAGACAGCCAGUUCUGUAAUCUUCUUGGAGGAAGUCCUAAUUUGUAAACAACUAAGCCCUGAAUAUGAUUCAGUUGCAGAAAGAUUUGUUCAGUUGCCCAGUUGAUGCAGUUUUUAGAUAGGGGAAUAAAGGAAAUACUGAAGGACAUGAGUGCAGAUCCCUGCUUAUUUCAAACAAAUAUGUGUAUGCUCCUGUAUGAAGAUCAGUGUUGGGGAAUAAGAAAUAAACUAGAGAGAGGAAUGAAACUACAUAUGACAUGAAACCGCAUAUGGAAGAAGUGCUAGAGUGAGUUGUCAAAAUAUGAGACCAAUGGGGCUCGUAUCCUCAGCAUUCAACACUGGAUGCUGUGGACAGUAGAGUUGAAGGGUAACAACACAAGGGUUGUAGUUAAUUACCAUCAGGGUACCAUGUUAGGGUCAACCAAGGUAUAUCCCUACAUCCAAUAUAUAAACUUCAUAAAUGCAAAAAGCUGCUGUAACCGCUCACGAGCAAGAACAGAACUAUAGGAAGGAGGUGGUGAAAAUAGCCCAGCUUUUAUCUUGCUGUGUUGUAAUUCAUGAAUGCAAUUUGCUCCAUGUUGUUAUUGGCAUAUGGAAAAAGAUCUAAUUCCUGCCAAGUGAAACUGAUUUUAUGUGUGUAAGAUGAGAUUACAUACAAAUAACCUCUAUGCACACCCAUUUUCCUUUUGUGUGUUCAGAGAAUGAAGGAAAUGCCAUGCUAUUAAUUCUAUUUGUGGGCAAGAAAUGUUGGCUUCUACUGAAAAUCUUAAAUUCUGUGUCACAGCUUUUCUUUUACUUACAUAGCAAGCACAUUUAUCUGUUGGAGGCAGCCAAUGUGGUAGAGUACAAGUAGAGAAAUAUAGCAUAACUCUUUCUAAAUGCAAAGUAUAUAUUCUAGAGGUAGAAGAAAACAACUUGCCACAAGACUGCCACUUUAGGGACAGCCCUACAUUUCUACUAAUAUGUAGGUUCCUCCUUUAUGCCUUUGAAAAAGCAACCUGUAGUAAACACCAAGAGAGUGUCAUGACACAUCAAACAUUAACAAGCUAUUCGGAACUCCUUGAUACUUUUCAGCAUGAUACCUUCAUAAAGUGCAAUUCUGUAGUACACAUCUGCAUUUAAAGCACAUUCAGAAGCAGAAGAGUUCACUCCUAUAUAGAGAUUUAUGAUGAUGUAUCAUAAAGGCAUAAAAGGGGAGCUUGUACAGUUUGCCCCUCUUAGGAGUCUCUUGUACAAACUGCUGGGUCAGUGUCUCUUCUCUUGGCUUCUUUACAAGAUGUUUCUGCCUGUCAGUCAAAAUGUUUUAGGGAUCCCUGAAAAUGACAUGAAAUAGCUUGGGGUGAUAAAGUGUUCCAAAUUUCAGGGAAAGACAUUUUUCACUGGUAGUUUUAAAAUGGCUGCUCCUUGAAGCUCCUUAAAGAUUUUCAAUAAUAGAAACAAUCCAAGGAGAGAUGGAUUAGUCAUCAGAGAGUAGGUGGAACCAUAAAAGAUUGAUGCUAAAUACCAUUUGUUAUAGUUCCAUAAUUUAUUACACAGCCCUCAUCCUCUGCUUGCUGCUCAUACAUUCUGUGGGGCUAGUACUUUUUGUUUCUGCCUCAGAGUUUAAGCUGAUCACCCACAAGAGGUCAGAAAAGGAUUCUUCUUUUCUUCUUCCUUACAUUUUGCUAUCACUUUCUUUCUGCACAUUUUGAGAGGGGAAACGGAGAUAGGGACAUUGUGUUAACUGAGGGUGUUUUAUGAUUCAUUACUCUCCCUCUUCUCCCCUCAGUGGUGAUUUAUGAUGGGGCAUUUUACUCUAUUUGAUUACGUUACAGAAUUUGUAUUCUGAUACUGUAGGUUUUAAAUUACUGUGAGAGCUCCCAGUGUGCUGGAACGGAAAAAUACUUAGAAUUUAUAAAUCUAAAUAAAAUGUGCAGCAUUGAGCCAUUGAGCAGAUGUAUAAUAGUAAGCCAUGGAUAUUUCUCCAGCUCUUCAUCACUCUGUGUUUCUUCUAUGACUCCAUUCUGUAGCAUCAGAUUUUCCAUAUAUGGCAGAUUGAGAGUUUGAUCCACUGUUCCUAAAUCAUAUAAAACUAGGAUGUCUUCACAUCCUCAAAAAUGAAUGGAGUUUUGGAGCUUAUGUUUGAUGGUCUCAUUGGGACCAAUCCACUAAGAAUAUAGUUUUUAGCUCAGAGUUCUUGAUUAUGCACCACUAACUGCAUAAAACUGGAGAAAGAUUUUAGAAACUUAUAACCAUAAAAUUGCUUAAUAUUUCAUGUUUUGGACUAUUGUAAUUUAUACCACUGAUAUCAAAUGGAGAACAAGUAGAAUUUAAAUGGUACAAGUUUCACAAUGACUAUUGCCAGAUACAAAGAAAAGAAUGUGAUCAUACCAACAUUGUUACAGGGAUGGUAACAAAAGUGAUCUUACUGCCGCCACAGAUUGCUAUGUCUAGUAGUCUACUCAGUGGAAUGGGUAUUUCAAAAAGCUCAGAGUCCUCCUAUAAGGCUUAUUGGGGAUAAAGUCACUCACAUGUAUUGUCACCUUCAUGCCAUCAUCCUGUGGUACCUUUCAGGCACAGCCAGUCCAACAAUGAGGCGAAUUAAGCGGUCGCUUCAGGCGCAAAACAUACGGGGCACAGUCGAGACUGCUUUCUCUGUUAAUUUGUUGUAAAACGUGAUGUUUUGGUGCUUAAUUUGUAAAAUCUUAAUGUAAUUUGAUGUUUAAUAGGCUUUUCCUUAAUCCCUCCUUAUUAUCCAACAUUUUCGCUUAUCCAACGCUUUUAUUUUUCAGUGAUUGGUUUGGGGGGGGGCGCCAAAAUUCUGUUCACCUACACUUGAAAAAUACCUAGGGUUACUAGCCUGCUUAUAUGGGAUCAGCUGCACUUUAUGAGUCUAAACAUAUGGAGAAUGUGCUUUGCAGACCACCUUCAUGCUUGAUUCCAAUUAAUUCAGGGUGGUAACAUCAUGAUGAAGAGAAUUGACUUGGUGGAUUGGCGAGGGGUUUAAGAGCCCUUUGAGAGAGGGAUAUUGAAAGAAGUGAUCCUGUUACUACACUUUGAGAAAUCUUCACCAAAUCUUGAGGGUAGUAAUAAUACCAUGUAACAAAAUUUGAAAAAAAAAUGUGUUCCUGAUUUGCAAGUGUUAUUUCCUGUUUAAUUGUGUUGUACUUACUUUGAAAGCAGUUGUUAUGCUCCAGAAACUUUAUUUUAUGGCUGCCACAAACCAUGUUGAAUUGGUUGAAACUCUAUGAGAUAUUCAUUGAAAAGCUAUAGCAAAAUGUACUGCAGGAUAUCCCACAAAAAGAAAGGUUUUGCAGUUUAAUAAACUUUUUCCAUGUUUUUAUGAUAGACCCAAUUAGAAACUGACAUUAUAACACAGGAACAAAAAUGGUGUGUUUAUGUGUAAUAGUUGCACAGUUACAAAUAUUUUUACUGGAAGUCAAGGUAAUGAGAACACUUGGGACUGUUGGAUCCUAAAAAGUUUCUUCUCAUUCUUCAUUCUAUUUUUUCAUCUGUAUAAAGUUCCUGGUAUAGUGAGGAAAUCAAGGUAUUGGCUUCUAUUUUCCAUCUGAGUGAAGUGUGGCUGUAUAAAUGCUGGACCCUUGUAUAGAUGUGGUAUUUGUGUGAAUGAAGACUUGCUUGACCAUAGUGAUCAAUGUUCUGGUAAACAAUACUUAAGUUGUUGUAAUGGAUUGUAUAUUUGUUUGGAAGCCUGAAUUGCUUCAAGAAUUCAGUAGCUAGAAUUCUAAAUCAUUCAGCUAGAUGGAGCUCUUUGUAACCACUUCUUAAAAAUUAUAUUGGUAGCCUGUUUAGUUCUGAUCCUAAUUGAAGAUAUUGGCACUUACCUUUAAGUGCUAAAUAUCUUGGGUUACAGAUACUUAACACAUUUAUCUAUACCAUCCUCACUAAGCAUUAAGAUCUUCCAGUGUGUCCCUUCUUUAAAUACAAUUAUUUGGUAAAAUACACUGUAUACAAAGAAGAGGCAGCACCACUUUUGCAUACCUCUUCUCGGGGACUGAUGCCCAUUCUGCAGCCUUUUCAUUAUGAGACGAAACUAUUGAUAUAGGCCUAAGCAUGUAUGGAUUCACUUCUGCUUUAUAGUUUCAUUGUGGGGAAGGGGAGGUAGCUUUAUGGUCACGUAAAGGUUGAUGUGUUAUGGUGCACUGCUUUUAUUAUGAUGUUUUUGAUAUUAUACUCUAUCUUAAGAUCCUUCAGGAAAAGUAGAUUAAAAAAUCUUGAAUAAACAAAUCAAUAAGUAUUACUAAUGAAAUUAAUGUGCAUGUUUUUAUUUUGUAAAUAGCAGAGAAGAACGUGGAGCCAAAAGGCAAAUAAGAAAGAAUUAGGGCCAUUAUCUCCUUGCCAUAGUCUCAUUAAAAUUCCCCUCCCUGAAGCUAUUGAUUGAAUUUCAGGAGUUUGAACUGUGAGCUUUUAUCAAGCUGACUCUUUUCUUUAUUACUUUGGGGAUCUGUAGUUUUUUUUUUUUCUCUCCUCCCAGUCUGCCUUUGUAGAUUUCAGCACUUCAUCUUAUCUCGCUUAUCAUUCAGGAACAACCACAUGAGAGUCCUGACCUUUUCUCAAAUGGUUGUCUCUAAGGCAAGAAAAAGAGACAAUCACUUAUGCUAUGGCACAGGUAUAAGGAUUCUUUUGAUACAUCAUCCAUCCAAAUCAGUUACUGCAUAUUACAACUGUCAGGCAGAGAGCAUUAGGCAGGUUGGCCUUUGUUGCCAGGCAGAUUUCAGCUUUUAUUAAUGGUAAUCUUAAUGAAUUAGAUAUGUGAGCUAAGCAGAUGCAGUAUUCCCCAUCCUUUCCACAGACUGAUGUAGUAACAUACAAACAAACAAAAGGGAACAGUAUCAACAGCAGUUUGCUGCAUGUGAAACAGUUGCUCCAGCUGUUCAUUUUUGUCUGUUGAGCCAUUUAACUUACAGAGUACACUUGCAUCCAUUAACAUGGUUCUCUUGUAAUGUAAAUGAUCAGUUUCUUCUCCUCCUCCUAAGCCUGACAGAUUAUUUUACCCCACACCUUUUCUGAUUCUUGCAGUUUUAUCACCAAUCUCUGCUGGCUUAAUUGUAGAAAAUGAACCAGACAUUGUGACAGAGAGACAGUCUAAUCCCAAGACUUGUUAUUUGGCUGGAGUGAUGCAAAUUGUGAUUUGUGCUAUGGCCACAAAAAGCAGGAUACAACAUUUGCCAAGUUUUGAUACUGUGAUCCAGCACCUAAAUCCUCUUACUUAGCAAUGCCCUUUCAUGUUUCAGUAGUGGGAAAGUGAAUAGAUACUGAUAUUUACAGGCAGAAUUGCAGGAUGCGGUGAGAUCCAAAUAUUCACUCAGACGACAGUGUAUGCUAGCUAUGUGCCAGGAUUACAAAUUCAGUUGCUUCAUAACGUAAAGUAAAUUAUUUGCACAUAACAAGGACCAUUUAUUGUGUAGGCUAAAUUAUUGGAGAUGAAAGCCUUGUUCAGGUAUUUCACACCCUAAUUUCUUCAAUAGGAUGUAUAGGAAUGAUCAGUCCCAGCCUCUCAACCAUCACGUUGUUCAUAUAAUAAGCUAUGUGUCUAAAGAAAGGAGCUUCCACUUUACAUAGGACCUUGUGGUAAUCGGCCAAUAUUGCCAUGGAUCGCGGUGAGGUUGGUGGAACCUGCCCACACUGUGCUCCACACCGUCCCGGCUUCCCCCCUACCUCAUCACAAGUGGGGUAAGCCUGUUUAAGAUGGAAAUGGAAAGACAGGAAGCCUGCCAUUGUCUACCACCGGUAAUUUGACAGUGGUGGCAGGGGUGUUGUGCUAGUUCUGCCUGGAGCCGCCCUGGAAGUACUUUUACUGAGUGUGAUCCAUGUAAGAAGAUGUCCCACUUUCUGAGUAAGAAAAGCAGUGAUGAAGGAGGUAGGGCUAAGCAUUUUUCUGCAGAGGAAUAAUAAAAUACCAUGUAAAAGACAGGGUAGAGGAUAUCCUUUUUGCUCUUUCUAAGGAAUGCAAUUAUCUGGACUGUAGAAGAACUUAAGAAUUGACACUGAUGUCAAAGGACAAAAAAGGAAUUAUUCAUGCAAAAAUCCAGAUGGUGGGAUCAAUGGUACAAGUGAGUCCAAAACCUAGCUCGUUGUUGACACUGUUAGGCUCCUAUUGACAUCAAGUAUGAGGGUAGAACUCAAGUGGCAUUCUGGUCUCUGUGCUAUUUUCAUUUAGGUGUCUCAUUUAUUUGUUCAUUAUUAUUAGGAACAGCCUGUAAAAGGAAUCACAUCUUUAAAACCAGAUAUCCUCAAAGAGGGGAGAACUUGACACAAAAUUGCAAUUUUCAUUGGUACCCCAAUGUCAAGCAUCACAUGUGAAGCACUUCUGCCCUGAAUCACUAUACUCAUGUGCUGCUCAAAGUGCUUCUCAAGGAUUUAAUUCUUUGUUGAACGUAGUUAUUAACAUCGCAAAAGCAGAAAAAUGCCUUCCACUCAGACAUAAAAUAUCUGAAGUACCAAACUUUCCAUCUUUUGGUACAGUUUGUACCCUCAGCUCUUCCUUGGAUUAUGUUUCUGUCCUAAUAGUUUUGGAAGAGGGAUUUCCACCUUAAGGCUAUGACUUUAGCACAGUUGUUUUUAAAUAGGUGAACAGUGUAGGCUUCAUUUAGCAUAUUAUACCUUCUGGGCCAAGACAGUUUUGUCCCUGUCAGCACACUAUUGAGACCCACUCAAAACAGCUCUUGAUGAGCUUGCAGAGCAUCUGAAUUGUACUCAGGCAAGGAGGCAAAAAAGCUUAAAAACUCAGCUACUCCCCAUCAAUAACACCAUGAAGAGGAGAAGCAGGUUGAUUCAUAAUAAGCAAGUAGGAUUUCUUCUUGCUGUGGUUGUUUGGCACAAUCUUAACAUUAUAACUGCAUGCUGUGAAUUUUAUCCAUUACUUGCCAGCACCAUUUUAAGUGAAUUGAUCCUGUUCUUUAGGAGGGACAGCAACUAACAAAAGAGAAGUAAGUGCUUGGGUAAAUAACUACAAUUUGGUAGUCUUAUGCACAUCUAUAGCUGUGUUUGAAAAAGUUGUAUUUCAGGUUGGUGUUGAUCAAAUCUCUUUCACUGAUGUUUUCCAAAUGAACAAUCUCAGCCCAGAAUGCAGGUUGAGGCUUCAGAGGAAUCAAUUUAUUGUUAUGUUCCAUGGUGAAAUCUAUUUUUUUG